rnacentral:rRNA from 1 species
UACGUAGGGUGCAAGCGUUAAUCGGAAUUACUGGGCGUAAAGCGUGCGCAGGCGGUUUUGUAAGUCUGUCGUGAAAGCCCCGGGCUCAACCUGGGAAUUGCGAUGGAGACUGCAAGGCUUGAAUCUGGCAGAGGGGGGUAGAAUUCCACGUGUAGCAGUGAAGAUGCGUAGAGAUGUGGAGGAACACCGAUGGCGAAGGCAGCCCCCUGGGUCAAGAUUGACGCUCAUGCACGAAAGCGUGGGGAGCGAACCGG